AGAUGUUAAGAUUAAUCUAUCGGAGUCUUCUGAUAAUGGAUCUGUAAGUUCUGCAACCUGUCCUUUAAUGGAACAGCCUAAAAAUAUAACUUUUGCUCAAAUAAUUUGUAAAUUUACUAGUAUAUCUUUAAAUGUUACAAUUGUAUAUCUAUGGAGAUGAAAUCAGGAAAAUUGAAUCGACCUUUUCAGCAUCACUAUUCCGGGUAAGUGAACUUUGCCCUCAGUGUUUCCUUGAAGUGAUUCACUCCUUCCCAUUGUCCUCCAAUUUAUCUUCUGGAUCUUCGCUUUCGCUACCAUAUUUUCCCACCAAUUUGAUAAGUGGUGUACACGAAGAUCCUAUUAUAGGCUACAUAUAAAGAAGUUUUCCAGGGAAUCAUUAUCUUAAAUGUACUCUUAUACUUGGAGCUUGCGAUACAUGAUGUCAUCGCAUAAUGUUUGAAUAUACAUAAAUUCAAAUUACUAAUAGAUACAUUAAAUAGUCGUGAACAAAGAUAUCUCAGUUAAUAAAAACUAAAGGAACACAUCGUUAAUGGCAAACCACUGAAGAAAUAAAUCAAAAUUGUCAAUUGUCGAUAUAUUGUUUCAAUUAUUCAAUCAUUGGAGAUACAUUGGAGUCUUACAUCUUGUACAAAGUAGGCGGGUUCUUUACUAUAGGAUCAUGUCCGGUGGCGAUAAAUGUGUAAAGGGAGUAUCUUCCCAUAAAUGAAUCUAAACUAAAAAGCAAAUAAAAGCUUUACAACAAACAAGU
rnacentral:lncRNA from 1 species